rnacentral:rRNA from 1 species
GGUUAAGCGACUAAGCGUACACGGUGGAUGCCCUGGCAGUCAGAGGCGAUGAAGGACGUGCUAAUCUGCGAUAAGCGUCGGUAAGGUGAUAUGAACCGUUAUAACCGGCGAUUUCCGAAUGGGGAAACCCAGUGUGAUUCGUCACACUAUCAUUAACUGAAUCCAUAGGUUAAUGAGGCGAACCGGGGGAACUGAAACAUCUAAGUACCCCGAGGAAAAGAAAUCAACCGAGAUUCCCCCAGUAGCGGCGAGCGAACGGGGAGCAGCCCAGAGCCUGAAUCAGUGUGUGUGUUAGUGGAAGCGUCUGGAAAGGCGUGCGAUACAGGGUGACAGCCCCGUACACAAAAAUGCACAUACUGUGAGCUCGAUGAGUAGGGCGGGACACGUGGUAUCCUGUCUGAAUAUGGGGGGACCAUCCUCCAAGGCUAAAUACUCCUGACUGACCGAUAGUGAACCAGUACCGUGAGGGAAAGGCGAAAAGAACCCCGGCGAGGGGAGUGAAAAAGAACCUGAAACCGUGUACGUACAAGCAGUGGGAGCACGCUUAGGCGUGUGACUGCGUACCUUUUGUAUAAUGGGUCAGCGACUUAUAUUCUGUAGCAAGGUUAACCGAAUAGGGGAGCCGAAGGGAAACCGAGUCUUAACUGGGCGUUAAGUUGCAGGGUAUAGACCCGAAACCCGGUGAUCUAGCCAUGGGCAGGUUGAAGGUUGGGUAACACUAACUGGAGGACCGAACCGACUAAUGUUGAAAAAUUAGCGGAUGACUUGUGGCUGGGGGUGAAAGGCCAAUCAAACCGGGAGAUAGCUGGUUCUCCCCGAAAGCUAUUUAGGUAGCGCCUCGUGAAUUCAUCUCCGGGGGUAGAGCACUGUUUCGGCAAGGGGGUCAUCCCGACUUACCAACCCGAUGCAAACUGCGAAUACCGGAGAAUGUUAUCACGGGAGACACACGGCGGGUGCUAACGUCCGUCGUGAAGAGGGAAACAACCCAGACCGCCAGCUAAGGUCCCAAAGUCAUGGUUAAGUGGGAAACGAUGUGGGAAGGCCCAGACAGCCAGGAUGUUGGCUUAGAAGCAGCCAUCAUUUAAAGAAAGCGUAAUAGCUCACUGGUCGAGUCGGCCUGCGCGGAAGAUGUAAC